rnacentral:rRNA from 1 species
GAUCCUGGCUCAGGACGAACGCUAGCGGCGUGCCUAACACAUGCAAGUCGAGCGGAGAUCAUAGCAAUGUGAUCUUAGCGGCGGACGGGUGAGUAACGCGUGGGCAACCUACCUCAAACUGGGGGAUAACACAGGGAAACUUGUGCUAAUACCGCAUAACAUCAUGAGAUGACAUCGUCUUAUGAUCAAAGGAGAAAUCCGGUGAGAGAUGGGCCCGCGUCCAAUUAG